rnacentral:rRNA from 1 species
AGCAUAGCCCCUCGAAAAAGAGGGAUUAAUAAUCCCGUAAUAUUAUGAAGUGGCAUCGCUUUAUAAUUAUAGCUCCGGCGCUUAGAGAUGGGCGUGCGUCUGAUUAGGUAGUUGGUGAGGUAAUGGCUCACCAAGCCUGCGAUCAGUAACUGGCGUGAGAGCGCGACCAGUCACACGGGCACUGAGACACGGGCCCGACUCCUACGGGAGGCAGCAGUAAGGAAUAUUGGUCAAUGGACGCAAGUCUGAACCAGCCAUGCCGCGUGAAGGAUGAAGGCCCUCUGGGUUGUAAACUUCUUUUAUCUGGGAAGAAACUCCUGCAUUCCUGCGGGAUUGACGGUACCAGAGGAAUAAGCACCGGCUAACUCCGUGC